GACGGACGCUGGCGGCGUGCUUGACACAUGCAAGUCGAACGGAAAGGCCCUGCUUGCAGGGUACUCGAGUGGCGAACGGGUGAGUAACACGUGGGUGAUCUGCCCUGCACUUCGGGAUAAGCCUGGGAAACUGGGUCUAAUACCGGAUAGGAGCCAUUUUUAGUGUGAUGGUUGGAAAGUUUUUUCGGUGUAGGAUGAGCUCGCGGCCUAUCAGCUUGUUGGUGGGGUAAUGGCCUACCAAGGCGGCGACGGGUAGCCGGCCUGAGAGGGUGGACGGCCACAUUGGGACUGAGAUACGGCCCAGACUCCUACGGGAGGCAGCAGUGGGGAAUAUUGCACAAUGGGCGCAAGCCUGAUGCAGCGACGCCGCGUGGGGGAUGACGGCCUUCGGGUUGUAAACUCCUUUCGCUAGGGACGAAGCUUUUUGUGACGGUACCUAGAUAAGAAGCACCGGCUAACUACGUG
rnacentral:rRNA from 1 species